AGAGUUUGAUCAUGGCUCAGAAUCAACGCUGGCGGCGUGCCUCAGACAUGCAAGUCGAACGAUUAAAGCUCCCGUUCGGGGAGUGCAUAAAGUGGCGCACGGGUGAGUAACACGUAAGUAAUCUACCUUCGAGUGGGGAAUAACAGUCGGAAACGGCUGCUAAUACCGCAUAAUGCAGCGGCAUCGCAAGAUGACAGUUGUUAAAGAUUUAUCGCUUGAAGAGGAGCUUGCGGCAGAUUAGCUAGUUGGUAAGGUAAUGGCUUACCAAGGCUACGAUCUGUAACCGGUCUAAGAGGACGGUCGGUCACACUGACACUGAAUAACGGGUCAGACUCCUACGGGAGGCAGCAGUCGGGAAUUUUGGGCAAUGGGGGAAACCCUGACCCAGCAACGCCGCGUGAAGGAUGAAGUAUUUCGGUAUGUAAACUUCGAAAGAAUAGGAAGAAUUAAUGACGGUACUAUUUAUAAGGUCCGGCUAACUACGUGCCAGCCGCCGCCGUAAG
rnacentral:rRNA from 1 species